UGUGAAGCCAAGAAGGUUCCAGAGCUCAAGUACCACACUCUGUUAUUGAACUGCAAAGUUUGCUGGCUCUCUAAACUUCUUAAAGGUACAUCUGGCACCGGAAUGAAGCUAUCAAAGUAUUUCUGAAGUGGAGGUCUCUAGGGGGCCUAUAUUCGACAGGAACAAUCAAGAUAAACAGCAAUGAAACUAGACAAGAGGAACUUGGAAUUAGCAUAAUUUCUUCCAUGGAAAUGUCUCUUUGCUCACAUUUCUAACUUUCUGAAUCUCCACCUUCUAUCAGUAUUCCUUGAAUUUCAUCCUUCAUAGGGGGCAAACCAGAUCAUCUUAGCUGAAAAAUCUUCUCUUGUGCCUUUACAUCCAUUACAACCUC